rnacentral:rRNA from 1 species
CCUACGGGAGGCAGCAGUAAGGAAUAUUGGUCAAUGGGCGCAAGCCUGAACCAGCCAUGCCGCGUGCAGGAAGACGGCCCUAUGGGUUGUAAACUGCUUUUGAACAAGAGAAAACCUCGGUACGUGUACCGAGCUGAUAGUAUUGUUAGAAUAAGCAUCGGCUAACUUCGUGCCAGCAGCCGCGGUAAGACGAAGGAUGCAAGCGUUAUCCGGAUUCAUUGGGUUUAAAGGGUGCGUAGGCGGCCUGAUAAGUCAGUGGUGAAAUCUCUCAGCUUAACUGAGAAACUGCCAUUGAUACUGUCGGGCUUGAGUACAGAUGAUGUGGGCGGAAUAUGACAUGUAGUGGUGAAAUACUUAGAUAUGUCAUAGAACACCGAUUGCGAAGGCAGCUCACAAAACUGUAACUGACGCUGAGGCACGAAAGUGCGGGGAUCAAACAGGAUUAGAUACCCUGGUAGUCCGCACCGUAAACGAUGAUUACUCGUUGUUGGCAAUAUGACCGUCAGCGACCAAGCGAAAGCGAUAAGAAUCCACCUGGGGAGUACGCCGGCAACGGUGAAACUUAGAAAGUAGUAGACGNGNGAGAGCGACGACGACGACACGGAGGGAGGAG